rnacentral:tRNA from 1 species
GUCCACGUGGCGUAACGGAUAAGGGGUUUGACUUCGAAACGGGAGAUUGAAGGUUCGAAUCCUGCCGUGGACU